GACGUAGGUGGCAAGCGUUGUUCGGAAUCACUGGGCAUAAAGCGCGCGUAGGCGGCGGAGUAAGUCGGGUGUGAAAUCCCUCGGCUCAACCGAGGAACUGCGCCCGAUACUGCUUUGCUUGAGGGCCGGAGGGGAGAGUGGAAUUCCCGGUGGAGCGGUGAAAUGCGUAGAGAUCGGGAAGAACGCCGGCGGCGAAAGCGACUCUCUGGUCGGUACCUGACGCUGAGGCGCGAAAGCUAGGGGAGCAAACGGG
rnacentral:rRNA from 1 species